rnacentral:rRNA from 1 species
UCCGAAGGGGGCUAGCGUUGUUCGGAAUUAUUGGGCGUAAAGCGCACGUAGGCGGCUUAGCAAGUCGGAUGUGAAAUCCCUCGGCUCAACCAAGGAAGUGCAUCCGAAACUGCUGAGCUUGAGUACGAAAGAGGAUCGCGGAAUUCCCGGUGUAGAGGUGAAAUUCGUAGAUAUCGGGAGGAACACCAGUGGCGAAGGCGGCGAUCUGGGUCGAUACUGACGCUGAGGUGCGAAAGCGUGGGGAGCGAACAGG